rnacentral:rRNA from 1 species
AGAGUUUGAUCCUGGCUCAGAGCGAACGCUGGCGGCGUGCUUAACACAUGCAAGUCGCGCGGGAAAGGGGGUUUCGGCCCCUGAGUAGAGCGGCGCACGGGUGCGUAAGACGCGGGUGACCUAUCCGAGAGGCGGGGAUAACCCUUCGAAAGAGGGGCUAAUACCGGAUGUGCCCACGGGCAGAGAUGUCUGUGGGCAAAGGGUGCACUUUACUAGGUGCAUCCCUUCACGGAGGGGCCCACGGCCUAUCAGCUAGUUGGUAGGGUAACGGCCUACCAAGGCGAAGACGGGUAGCUGGUCUGAGAGGAUGGCCAGCCACACGGGGACUGAGACACGGCCCCGACUCCUACGGGAGGCAGCAGUGGGGAAUAUUGGGCAAUGGGCGCAAGCCUGACCCAGCGACGCCGCGUGGGUGAUGAAGGCCUUCGGGUCGUAAAGCCCUGUCGGGUGGAAAGAACGACUGUGGGGCGAAUAGCCCUACAGUGUGACGGUACCACCGAAGGAAGCACCGGCCAAUUCCGUGCCAGCAGCCGCGGUAAGACGGAAGGUGCAAGCGUUGCUCGGAAUCACUGGGCGUAAAGGGUGCGUAGGCGGCUGUGCAAGUCUGGCGUGAAAGCCCCGGGCUCAGCCCGGGAAGUGCGCUCGAAACUGCGCAGCUCGAGUGCCGGAGGGGAGAGUGGAAUUCCUGGUGUAGCGGUGAAAUGCGUAGAUAUCAGGAGGAAUACCGGUGGCGAAAGCGACUCUCUGGACGGCAACUGACGCUGAGGCACGAAAGCGUGGGGAGCAAACAGGAUUAGAUACCCUGGUAGUCCACGCCGUAAACGAUGGGCACUAGGUGUCGGGGGUAUCCACUCCCUCGGUGCCGCCGCUAACGCAUUAAGUGUCCCGCCUGGGAAGUACGGUCGCAAGAUUAAAACUCAAAUGAAUUGACGG